AAGACAGGAAGAGGGAAAACGACAGGCUGCCCAACUGGAACAUCAGUGUAUGGAAGAGGAAGCUCAGAAGGAGGAGGAGCUCAGGAAGCUGUCAGAGAUGGAGGAGGCUGAGAGACUGGAGUACCUGCGCAAGACAGCAGGAGCAGGAGGAGGAGAGGAGGAGGAAGCAGCGACGCACGCUGAAGAAGAGGCCAGGCUGCAGGCUGAACUGUUUGCCAGGCAGAGGGCAGCACUGGAGCAGCACUUAAAGUUUC